AUGUUUAAUACGAUCAUUGAGAGUCUCGAUUUGAGGGAGAUUGACCUCACUGCCAGACAAUGCAUACAGUUCACGUGGGCGAACACAUUGCCGGUUCCAACAUAUGAGAAGUUGGACCAAGUGCUCACCAGCAUAGAGUGGGAACAGAAGUUUCCGUUGGUAACGGUUCAGGCGCUUCAGAGAGCAAUUUCUGAUCAUACACCGUUACUGGUUGACUCUGGGGAAGCGACCCAUGUGGGAAACAGGACCAUUUUCUCUUUCAAAUUAGGAUGGUUCGAGAGGGACGGCUUCAUGGAUCUCAUUGCUAGAGAAUGGGCCAAGGAGUCAGGUGGACAUUCGAAUGUCGAUACGUGGCAAAAUAAAAUUCGACAUUUGCACCAGUUCUUGAGGGGCUGGACCAAGAAUCAAGGACGUGGCUAG
rnacentral:rRNA from 1 species